AGUAAGGUCAGCUAAUUCAAGCUCUUGGGCCCAUACCCCAAACACGCAGGUUAAAAUCCUGCCUUUACUA
rnacentral:tRNA from 1 species